rnacentral:rRNA from 1 species
UACGGAGGGUGCAAGCGUUAUCCGGAUUCACUGGGUUUAAAGGGUGCGUAGGUGGGCAGGAAAGUCAGUGGUGAAAUCUCCGGGCUUAACCCGGAACUGCCGUUGAUACUAUUUGUCUUGAAUAUUGUGGAGGUAAGCGGAAUAUGUCAUGUAGCGGUGAAAUGCUUAGAUAUGACAUAGAACACCAAUUGCGAAGGCAGCUGGCUACACAUAUAUUGACACUGAGGCACGAAAGCGUGGGGAUCGAACA